GUUUCUACACGACCUUGCAUAGAUAAUUGAUUUGCAUUCACUUUUUGCAGCACUGCUUUGUGGUUGUGUUUUUAUGCUUUGUCCCACACACUUCAGCGUUUUAAAAUCAGCGAUAC